GGACCAUCAUGUCGGUCGUGCCUCGGUACGUACUGGUAUUAUUGAUUUCUUUUAUUCUGAUAGAUCAUUGAUGUCAUUAAUUUGGUGUUUUGGGGAAUCAGGACUGUUACUUUGAAAAAAUUAGAGUGUUUAAAGCAGGCUCACGCUUGAAUACAUUAGCAUGGAAUAAUGAAAUAGGACGUUUGAUUCUAUUUUGUUGGUUUCUAGGAUCGACGUA
rnacentral:rRNA from 1 species